rnacentral:rRNA from 1 species
UACGUAGGGUGCAAGCGUUAAUCGGAAUACUGGGCGUAAAGCGUGCGCAGGCGGUGAUGUAAGGCAGAUGUGAAAUCCCCGGGCUCAACCUGGGAACUGCAUUUGUGACUGCAUCGCUAGAGUACGGCAGAGGGGGAUGGAAUUCCGCGUGUAGCAGUGAAAUGCGUAGAUAUGCGGAGGAACACCGAUGGCGAAGGCAAUCCCCUGGGCCUGUACUGACGCUCAUGCACGAAAGCGUGGGGAGCAAACAGG